rnacentral:lncRNA from 1 species
AUUAUUUUAAUUUAUUUUAAAGCAAUAAAUAUUUGUAAAUCAUAUUUAUUCAAAAAUUGAGAAUAAAAUAUUUUCUAAAUUUAUAUGUUACAUUUUAUUAGAAAAUAUCUACAAUAUUAAAUUUAAAUUUUAAUAUAAAAUAGAUGGAUAAAUUUGAUAUCAAAAAUCAAAAAUUAAAUUUAAUUCAAAUUUAAAGUCAAAUUUAAACUUUAAUGUAAAAUAAAUAUAUAGAAGUACUACUUUUUAACAGAUUGAACAUAAUAGUUUAUUUUUAUUUUCAAUAUUUUUAACCAAUUGAUUAUAACCGUUCGUAGAAUUGAAGUUAUAGAAGUUAUAGAUAGGUAUGAAUAUUUUUUUAACAAAUUAAUCAUAAUCAUUCGUUCUUAUUUUUGAUAAUUUUUUACAAAUUGAUCAUAAAUUUGUAUAUCAUAUUAAUUCAAAAAUAUGAUUUACAAAUUUAUCAACCAAUCUAUCUUUUAAAUUAUUUCCAUUGUAAUAUAUAGAUAGUAAAUUAAUUUUAAAUUUUGAAUUGAUAUAUAGAUUUGCAGUAGAUAUUCUGACAAAAUUUUGGAUAAGCAUGAAUUUUUUUUCUCUUUUAGAGAUAAAAAAAUUAAAUAAAAUUUUAAUUAAAAUAUAGAUUCAAAGUAAAUAUCUUUCGGUUGGCAAAAAAAUUUGGAUAAGUGUAUCUUUUUUUUAUUUUAGAGAUAAACAGAAAUUUAAAGUUUGUUUCUUUACGUUAUUUAUUUUACGUAAGGAAAAAGAAAUCAAUAUUUUUUCCCACCAAAAAAUGGGUCUGUCGACAGACCCAAAUUUGAAAUACGUGCUUUUAUAUAUAUAUAUAUAUAUAUAUAGGGCAGGGCUGUUGUGCUCUCAGGAGCACGAAGGCCUCUGUGCUCCUGAGCCGUUUUCGAUGAUGGAGUUUCCGAAUCGACGAUCGACUCCGUUAAAGUUGAUCUAGCGUAUUUGAAGUUUCUAGAAUAUAAUUUUGGCGAUUUUUCGAUAUCAUUUACCUAGCAAUCGAAAGGAUUCAAAAUCAAUAAUUUUUAACGGCCGAAAAUAAAAAUCCAAUAAAAAGUGGUGAUAUAGCACUAAAAUUUUCGAUUAGAAAUAUUGAUCUUGUUGUAAAUAGUAUAAAGAAUUUUGUAUCGAAAUUUCAUCUGAUUUGAAUACUUCUAUACCGUUAAACUUGAAAACGGCAGAUAUUAUGGAUUUUGAAUCCUUUCGAUCACUAGGUAAAUAAUAUUAAAAAAUCGUAAAAAUUAUUUUCUAGAAACUUCAAAUGCGCUAGAUCAAGUCUAACUGAGCGCGAUCGGUCUCCGAUUUGAAAAUUCAUCAUCGAAAACGGACUCAGAGAGCACAGCAGCUGUGCCCUAUAUAUAUAUAUAUAUAAUAUAUAUAUAGUAUAUAUAUAUAUAUAUAUAUACUAUAUAAUAAUAUAUAUAUUUUUUACUUUGUCUAAAUUAACAUAGUUUUUUUAUUUACUAUUUAUAUAGUAUAUAUGUUCAAUUAAUUAAUUUGAACUGUUGUUGUAUUCAACUGUAUUGCAAAAUUUUGAUGGAAUUUUUUGCCUAGAUAAAGAAAUAUACUCUAUGAUAUAAAAAUAAAGGAAAAUAAAAGUUCUUAUAAAUUUUAAAACGGAAUCCCAGGCUACUAGAUAUUUAUUUUUUAAUAAAUACUAUUUUAAUUGAUAAAUAUAGUUGCAACUAAAAAUCUUAUGCGGCAAAUAAGAAUCCAUGUGAACCGUUGCUAAAAUUGGUUGAUUUAAACUUUGUCAUUUAAAAUUUGAUUUUGAAUUCAAAUUUUGAAUGAAAAUUAAGAUUUCGCAUUCCAAUUUCAAUUAAAAUUCAGAUUGGAAUUCAAAUUAAUAUUUCAGGUUCAUUUUGAAUUCACAGAAUUCAUUUCAAAUUCAAUUAGAUUUUGAGUUUAAAUUUCAAAUUCAAUUGUAUAGAUUAUGAUUUCAGAUUUAAAUUUAAAAAUUUAAUUUGACUGUUAAAUUUAAGUUAGGUUUUAAGUCAACUUUUGAAUUCAAAUUCAAAUUUUGAAUUCUAUUUCAUAAUUCAAACCCCGAUUGUGAAUUGAUUUUAAUUAAAUUCAAGAAAAUUUCAAUUGAAUUCAAAUUCAGAAUAUAAAUUUCGAUUCAAAUUGAAAUCCAAAUUUAAAAUUCAAUCACAUUGUAAUUCAACAUUUGAUUUUGAAUUUUGGUUAAAUUUAAAUUUUAAAUUUAAAUUUUAAGCUUUAGUGAAUUCAAAUUUUCAUUCAAAUCGUAAAUAUGUAAGUAAAUAAACUUUUGAAGAUAUAUAUAUGGGUAAUUCGAAAACAGUACUGUCAUUUAUAAAUUUAUUAUUAAAUCACAUAUAGUAAUUUGUAAUCUUACUAAUAAUCACAAAUACUGUGCGAACCAAACAUAAAAAAUUAUUCAAUUUUCAAUAUUCCUUUUUUUUUUUUUUUUUUUACUCUUUUGAUAUCUAAAAUCUUUAGUUAGCGUGAUCCAAAUGCGUCUAUUUGAUCCCUAGGCUUGACCCGAUAGUAAAGUGUAGGAAAGAAGAUUAUGAGCACCAAAUUAAAAAAAAAAAAGAAAAAUGAAAAAGGUUAGUCACUAUUUGUGCUAUUAAUUUUAAAAAUUAAAAUUUUAAUUAUAAAAAUAAAGAUAAAAUGAAAAUUGUGGUAAAGGUUGGGAACCAUCCGUACAGUUAACCUAUGAAAUUAUACUAUAAUUAUCUAUUAAUUAUAAAUAUUUACUUUAAAAAAAACUUUUUUUUUUUUUUCACGCGCACAACUUUUUUGUUUUGGACUUAAGCGGCGGCGCCUUCGCCGUUCACACGCACUUUAAUCAUGAUUGCAAAUUUAAUUAAGCACGAACUUAUCUUCUAAUUUUUGUUCUUUCUUUAAUUAAUGAAGAGCUUAUCUAACUUAGCACGUUACGUGGGUUAGGAUAAUUCAUGUGAAAAACAUGCACAAGCCAUUGUUUCACAAGUAAGUGCUUAUCCCUGCAUUUUUUGUUCAUAAAUCAGCAUGAGUUAGUUGUUGGAUUCAAAUAAAUUUGUGAUAUAUGACCCAACUUAAUUAAGCGUACAUCUAGAAUACCAUGUAUACCUAGAAUUCUAAGGGAUUGAAAUUUAAGCUUUUACGUGAUUUCCUGUAAUUUCUGCCUCAAAGUUUUUAAAUUAUCGCAAUGAAGUCCAAUAACCUAAUUUAAUUAACUAAAUAUUAAUGUGGCACUGAUGUGGAAGUAAUAUAGCGGCAUUAUGAUUGAUGACAUGAUAAAAUAGAAAUGGUAAGAAAUUUAAUUAUAAUAAUUUCAAAAUUUUGAGUGAGAAAUUAUAAUAAAUUAAAGAUCGGAGAUCAGAGUAAAUUUACGAAUUCAAAAUAAAAUAUAGCCUAAUUUAAAUAAAAAAAAUGAAAAAGAAAUGGUAAGAAAUAGGAAAAGUUUUGAGGGAGGGGUUGAGUAAAGGUGGUGCGCAAAAUUAGAAAAAAAAAAAGAAGAAAAAAGUGUGGUAUCCCUAGAAUUUAUAUUAAAUAUGGUUAAAUUUUUUAAUUCGAUUAUAUUAUUUUGAAAGAUUAAAUAUAAAAAAUUUAAAAAAAUUAAUUGUGUUAGAAUUGAAAAAAAAAAAUAGAAUGAUUAACCUUUGAAAAGUAGGGCGUUACAAAAAGUGAUGUGCUGUCUCGAAAAAGCAAAUUAUCUUCUACUCCCUGCAAGCCUGCAACGCUAGACUUAUUCUAAACAUAGUAAUAGUAAAAAUAAGGAAAAACUUCGAAAACCCCCCAGUGGUUUCGUACUUUCUCACUUUGCACCAUGUGGUUUAAAACGUAUCAAUUUAUCUCCCUGUGGUUUCUUUUUUCUCUUUUUCUUAUCAAUUUUAUUAUUUUUUUCUUAAAUCAGUGAUAAAGUUAAAAUUAAAGGGUACUAAAGUGAAUAUUUGAUAAAUCUAGAUGGGUAUCUGAAGUUUUUUGUAUAUAAUUUAAUAAAAUAUUAACGAAAAAACUACCAAAAAGCUAAAAAUGAAACCACAGAGGGGCAAUUUGAUACAUUUUAAACCACAAGGGAGCAAAGUGAGAAACUACGAAAUUAUAGGGGGGUUUUUGAAGUUUUCCCUAAAAACAAUAAUAAUAAAUUUUUACUUGUACGACUUAUUCUAGUCCCAAUUAUUCCCUUUUUUUUUUUUGUUUUUUUGGUUGCGAAGCGAAUGUGGCCCACGCGAAUUAUACACAGCAACAGCAUAAAAGGUUUGUCUUUUGUUUUAAUUAAAAGAAAGAUGGGAUGGGACGGUGCGUGCGUUCGGGGGACAUCCUAAACCUACCACCCCCCCCUAACCAUGUGACCAUACGUUUGAAAUGACCCUUUCACCCUUCCUAAGUUUCUCUCCCUAUUGAUUAUCUAACUAAUAUUUUGCAUUCCAGGUACCCGUGGGUUUGGUGGUUCGUAUCCGAGAUACCAAGUUCGAAUCCCAGUUAAUUUAUAUUUUCAGUUAAGUUUAGUUCUAAAUAAAAUAAACGAAACGAGUAGCGUGCUAUCUAUCUCUCAAAAAAAAAAAUUUUUUUUUUUUGCAUUCCAGGUUAAUUUCUGGGAUCUCCUCUUAAUUUCUUUUCAUCAUAAAUUAUUAUCUUAUAUUUUUCAUACCGAAUAUAUUCAGUAAAUAAAAGUCGAAAGUCUAUUUCUUUUUCUUGAUUUCCUUUUCUUGAUCUGUCUCGAUUUGUAAAUAAUUUGUACAUAUCCCAACUCAGGCUUGAAUAGAACAGUAAAUGAGUUCAAAAAGUAAAAUAAAAGUGAAAAGUUAGUAGCACUAAGUGAAAUAGUAUGAUUUAAACAGUAAAUGAGUUCAAAAGGUAAAAUAAAAGUGAAAAGUUAGUAGCAGUAAGUAAAAUAAUCAAUUGCUUGCUUUAUUUUUUACUUGUUCUUAAGUUAAGGAUAAAAAUGGUAUUUUAAUUUUUUUUAACUCUAAUAGAUAUUGAACUUGCGUUUAACCAAACUUAACAUAACGGAUGAUAACUGCAAGGUAUUUUGGAAUAACGGAAAAAUAUAAGAAAAGUAUAUUGAAAAGAACAAAAAUGAAUAAAUGAGAUAUUUUUGAAGUUUUGAAGGGUAUAUAGAUAAUUAUGCCUAAUAAAAAAAAAAGUUGUUAGUGUUUUAUUUUAAUCUAAUAUUUAGUUUUUUGAAAAUUAAAUUUUUAUUCGAAACCAGAAGGGCAGUGCGGGGGGAAACAAGCAAGUUAAAAAGAGUACAACCCAUGCUCCCGCCGCAGAAAAAGGCGUGCCAGCACACGUGUUACCGCAGGACACGGGAAAUGUACGGGCACGUGCGAAAACUUCCAAACAAAAAAAAAAGAAGAAGAAGAAAUUAUUAAAAAACCAAGCUGAUUAAAACCGACGUUCUUCUCUCUCUCUCUCUCUCUCUCUCUCUCUCUCUCUCUCUCUCUCCUUCCCGCCACCUACGACGAGACUUCGUAACAGACACGAGCGGAGUAAAGAAAAGUUGGGACAGCUGUCAGUCAGCACGCAACCGUCGCGAGCGGAAAAGUGCGAUUCCCUUCCCCGACCCCCCAAAUCCCCGCUUCCAUCCCCCCCCUUUUUUUUUUUUUUUUUCUUUUUUUUUUACUUUUUUCUUUUUUCUUGUUUAUUAAACUCGAUUUCCCGUUUUCUUCAGAGUCUUCACAGAAAAUUCAGAGCCUUUUAAUUUGGGUAAUACGGUCACUAAAAAUAUUAUUAUUUUUUGGGAGAAAAAAAAAAUAUACAUUGGCGUUAGUAAUUUCAUUUUAUAAUUUUUUGGAAAUAAUUCUAUUAUGUUGUAUGGUGACGAUUAGUAAAUCAACUAAAUCAUAAAUAAAUAAAAUAAAAAAUACAAAUAAUCAACAGAUACAUAUAAAAAUACAUAAAAAAAUAAAAAAAAAUAACAAAUAAAAAAUAAUAUAAAAUUAAGUAAUAAUAAUAAUAUAAUAAGGGCUCUGUGCUCUCAAAGAGUACGGGGAGGGGGCUCCUACUUUUUCACAAAAACAUGAGCCGUUUUAUCAAAUUUAAUGCGAUUUUCGAAUCGAACGAAAAUCGGAACGUCAUUAGACUUUCAAGAUCUAAGCACGAUAAUUAUAUUUACAUGAUUACUAAAAAAAUAAUUUUUAGCCCGAUAUUCGAUAUCAUUUAUUCUACAAAUCGAAAGGCAUUCAAAACAAAUAAUUGAUUAGAGACGACCAAGGAAAAUAAAUAUUCCACAAAAAGUGAAAUAUGACAACUAUAAAUUAGAUCGACAAACAAUAUUGGGAAAUUUAGUCAGAUAAGAUAGUAAUAACAGAAUUAUGUAUCAAAAAUUUUCUUAUACUGAUUUGAAUAACAUUAUACAUCAGUUAAACUUGAAACGGACAGACAUCAACCAUUUAAAAAUAUUGAUAUUUGAAACCUUAUCGUAAUACACUAGUGUAAAUAAUAAUUCAAAAAUCGACAUAAAAAAUUAUUUUAGAAACUUCAAAUUACCUAGAUUAAGUCUAAC